rnacentral:rRNA from 1 species
GACGAACGCUGGCGGCGUGCUUAACACAUGCAAGUCGAACGGAAAGGCCUGCUUUCCCUUGUGGAUUGCGGGUACUCGAGUGGCGAACGGGUGAGUAACACGUGAGUGAUCUGCCCCCAACUUGGGUAUAAGCCUGGGAAACUGGGUCUAAUUCCCGAUAGGACUGCAGGGUGGUGCCGGUGGUGGAAAACGAUUUUCUAGUGGUUGGGGAUGAGCUCGCGGCCUAUCAGCUUGUUGGUGGGGUAAUGGCCUACCAAGGCGGCGACGGGUAGCCGGCCUGAGAGGGUGGACGGCGACAUUGGGACUGAGAUACGGCCCAGACUCCUACGGGAGGCAGCAGUGGGGAAGAUUGCACAAUGGGCGGAAGCCUGAUGCAGCGACGCCGCGUGGGGGAUGACGGCCUUCGGGUUGUAAACUCCUUUCGACCGCGAGGAAGCCACCUGGUUGGAAGGGUGGUGACGGUAGUGGUAGAAGAAGCACCGGCUAACUACGUG